GACGAACCGUGCGAACGUUGUUCGGAAUCACUGGGCUUAAAGGGCGCGUAGGCGGGUGUGCAAGUCUGCGGUGAAAGCCUCCAGCUUAACUGGAGAAGUGCCGUGGAUACUGCGUAUCUUGAGGAGGGUAGGGGCAUCUGGAACAUUGGGUGGAGCGGUGAAAUGCGUUGAUAUCCAAUGGAACUCCGGUGGCGAAGGCGAGGUGCUGGACCCUUUCUGACGCUGAGGCGCGAAAGCCAGGGGAGCAAACGGG
rnacentral:rRNA from 1 species